rnacentral:misc_RNA from 1 species
AAGUCGUAACAAGGUUUCCGUAGGUGAACCUGCGGAAGGAUCAUUACCGAGUUCAUGCCCUCACGGGUAGAUCUCCCACCCUUUGUAUACCAUACCUUUGUUGCUUUGGCGGGCCGCCUAGCUACUGGCUUCGGCUGGUAAGUGCCCGCCAGAGGACCCAAAACCCUGAUUAUUAGUGUCGUCUGAGUAAAAUUUUAAUAUUUAAAACUUUCAACAACGGAUCUCUUGGCUCUG